rnacentral:rRNA from 1 species
AGAGUUUGAUCCUGACUCAGAACGAACGCUGGCGGCGUGCCUAACACAUGCAAGUCCAACGUGAAAGGGGAGCAAUCCCCCGGUAGGGUGGCAAACGGGUGAGUAAUACAUGGGUGAUCUACCUUAGGGAUGGGGAUAUCCUUCCGAAAGGAGGGGCAAUACCGAAUAUUGUCCGGAGCCGUGAAGGGUUCCGGGGAAAGGGAGGCCUCUGAUACAAGCUUUCGCCUUAAGAUGAGCCCAUGGCCCAUCAGCUAGUUGGUAGGGUAAAGGCCUACCAAGGCUACGACGGGUCGCUGGUCUGAGAGGACGACCAGCCACACUGGCACUGAGAUACGGGCCAGACUCCUACGGGAGGCAGCAGUGAGGAAUAUUGCGCAAUGGGGGAAACCCUGACGCAGCAACGCCGCGUGUGGGAAGAAGGCCUUCGGGUCGUAAACCACUUUUGCACGGGACGAAAAAGGGAUAUCGAACAAAUAUCCCCGAUGACGGUACCGUGAGAAUAAGCCACGGCUAACUCUGUGCCAGCAGCCGCGGUAAGACAGAGGUGGCAAGCGUUGUUCGGAACUACUGGGCGUAAAGAGUCUGUAGGUGGUUUGUCAAGUCUUUGGUGAAAGGCCGUAGCUUAACUAUGGGAAUGCCAAAGAGACUGGCAGGCUGGAGGCUGGGAGAGGGAAGCGGAAUUUCUGGUGUAGCGGUGAAAUGCGUAGAUAUCAGAAGGAAGGCCGGUGGCGAAG